ensembl:rRNA 5S_rRNA 5S ribosomal RNA
UGUGAUGUCCGUACCACACUGAACUCGCCUGAUCUUGUCUGAUCUCGGAAGCUAAGCAGGGUCGGGUCUGGUUAGUACUUGGUUGGGAGACCGCCUGGGAAUAUUGGAUGCUACAGGC